rnacentral:rRNA from 1 species
AGCCGAGCGGUAUUUGUUCUUCGGAACAGAGAGAGCGGCGUACGGGUGCGGAACACGUGUGCAACCUACCUUUAUCAGGGGGAUAGCCUUUCGAAAGGAAGAUUAAUACCCCAUAAUAUAUUGACUGGCAUCAGUUGGUAUUGAAAACUCCGGUGGAUAGAGAUGGGCACGCGCAAGAUUAGAUAGUUGGUAGGGUAACGGCCUACCAAGUCAGUGAUCUUUAGGGGGCCUGAGAGGGUGAUCCCCCACACUGGUACUGAGACACGGACCAGACUCCUACGGGAGGCAGCAGUGAGGAAUAUUGGACAAUGGGUGAGAGCCUGAUCCAGCCAUCCCGCGUGAAGGACGACGGUUCUAUGGAUUGUAAACUUCUUUUAUACUGGGAUAAACCUACCCUCGUGAGGGUAGCUGAAGGUACAGUAUGAAUAAGCACCGGCUAACUCCGUGCCAGCAGCCGCGGUAAUACGGAGGGUGCAAGCGUUAUCCGGAUUUAUUGGGUUUAAAGGGUCCGUAGGCGGAUCUGUAAGUCAGUGGUGAAAUCUCAUAGCUUAACUAUGAAACUGCCAUUGAUACUGCAGGUCUUGAGUAAAGUAGAAGUGGCUGGAAUAAGUAGUGUAGCGGUGAAAUGCAUAGAUAUUACUUAGAACA